rnacentral:rRNA from 1 species
GACGAACGCUGGCGGCGUGCUUAACACAUGCAAGUCGAACGGAAAGGCCCCUUUGGGGGUACUCGAGUGGCGAACGGGUGAGUAACACGUGAGUAACCUGCCCUUGACUUCGGGAUAACUUCAGGAAACUGGGGCUAAUACCGGAUAGGAAUCCUUGCUGCAUGGUGGGGGUUGGAAAGCUUCGGCGGUUUUGGAUGGACUCGCGGCUUAUCAGCUUGUUGGUGGGGUAGUGGCUUACCAAGGCUUUGACGGGUAGCCGGCCUGAGAGGGCGACCGGCCACAUUGGGACUGAGAUACGGCCCAGGCGCCUACGGGAGGCAGCAGUGGGGAAUAUUGCACAAUGGGCGGAAGCCUGAUGCAGCAACGCCGCGUGCGGGAUGACGGCCUUCGGGUUGUAAACCGCUUUCAGCAGGGGCGAAGCUUGUGGUGACGGUACCUGCAGAAGAAGCACCGGCUAACUACGUG